rnacentral:misc_RNA from 1 species
GAUGAAGAACGCAGCGAAAUGCGAUAAGUAAUGUGAAUUGCGGAAUUCAGUGAAUCAUCGAAUCUUUGAACGCACAUUGCGCCCGCCAGCAUUCUGGCGGGCAUGCCUGUUCGAGCGUCAUUUCAACCCUCGAGCCCCCCCGGGGGCCUCGGUGUUGGGGGACGGCACACCAGCCGCCCCCGAAAUGCAGUGGCGACCCCGCCGCAGCCUCCCCUGCGUAGUAGCACACACCUCGCACCGGAGCGCGGAGGCGGUCACGCCGUAAAACGCCCAACUUUCUUAGAGUUGACCUCGGAUCAGGUAGGAAUACCCGCUGAACUUAAGCAUAUCAAUAAGCGGAGGA